GACGAACGCUGGCGGCGUGCCUAACACAUGCAAGUCGUGCGAGAAAGUUCCUUCGGGAGCGAGUAAAGCGGCGCACGGGUGAGUAACACGUAGGUAACCUGCCCCCCAGUCUGGAACAACUAGAGGAAACUCUAGCUAAUGCCGGAUGAGACCACGAUCCCUUCGGGGGUUGCGGCCAAAGAUGGCCUCUACUUGUAAGCUAUCGCUGAGGGAUGGGCCUGCGGGCCAUUAGCUUGUUGGUGAGGUAACGGCUCACCAAGGCUGUGAUGGCUAGCUGGUCUGAGAGGAUGACCAGCCACACUGGGACUGAGACACGGCCCAGGACUCCUACGGAGGCAGCAGUGGGGAAUAUUGCGCAAUGGGCGAAAGCCUGACGCAGCGACGCCGCGUGGGUGAUGAAGGCCU
rnacentral:rRNA from 1 species